rnacentral:rRNA from 1 species
UACGUAGGUGACCAGCGUUGUCCGGAUUUACUGGGCGUAAAGAGCGCGCAGGCGGUCGUUCAAGUCGAGUGUGAAAGCCCCCGGCUCAACUGGGGAGGGUCACUCGAUACUGAUCGACUUGAAGGCAGGAGAGGAAGCGGAAUUCCCGGUGUAGUGGUGAAAUGCGUAGAUAUCGGGAGGAACACCAGUGCGAAGGCGGCUCCUGGCCUGUU